AUUGAACGCUGGCGGCAUGCUUUACACAUGCAAGUCGAACGGCAGCACGGACUUCGGUCUGGUGGCGAGUGGCGAACGGGUGAGUAAUACAUCGGAACGUACCCAGUAAUGGGGGAUAACUAUCCGAAAGGAUAGCUAAUACCGCAUACGCCCUACGGGGGAAAGAGGGGGAUCGCAAGACCUGUUGUGAUGGGAUCGGCCGGUGGUGGAUUAGCUAGUUGGUGGGGUAAAGGCCUACCAAGGCAACGAUAAGUAGCGGGUCUUAGAGGAGGAUCCGCCACACUGGAACUGAGACACGGUCCAGACUCCUACGGGAGGCAGCAGUGGGGAAUCUUGGACAAUGGGCGCAAGCCUGAUCCAGCAAUGCCGCGUGCGUGAAGAAGGCCUUCGGGUUGUAAAGCGCUUUUGUCAGGGAGCAAAUCCUUGUGGCUAAUACCCACCGGGGAUGAGAGUACCUGAAGAAUAAGGACCGGCUAACUUCGUGCCAGCCGCCGCCGUAACAC
rnacentral:rRNA from 1 species